GGAGAUGUGACAGAAAUUAAUAAUGUGUUUGAUUUGAAAUCUUAUGAUAAGGUGUAAUUCCUUUCUUCUCUU
rnacentral:tRNA from 1 species